rnacentral:rRNA from 1 species
GCCUAACACAUGCAAGUCGAGCGGAUGACGGGAGCUUGCUCCUUGAUUCAGCGGCGGACGGGUGAGUAAUGCCUAGGAAUCUGCCUGGUAGUGGGGGACAACGUUUCGAAAGGAACGCUAAUACCGCAUACGUCCUACGGGAGAAAGCAGGGGACCUUCGGGCCUUGCGCUAUCAGAUGAGCCUAGGUCGGAUUAGCUAGUUGGUGGGGUAAUGGCUCACCAAGGGCGACGAUCCGUAACUGGUCUGAGAGGAUGAUCAGUCACACUGGAACUGAGACACGGUCCAGACUCCUACGGGAGGCAGCAGUGGGGAAUAUUGGACAAUGGGCGAAAGCCUGAUCCAGCCAUGCCGCGUGUGUGAAGAAGGUCUUCGGAUUGUAAAUGCACUUUAAGUUGGGAGGAAGGGCAGUAAGCUAAUACCUUGCUAGUUUUGACGUUACCGACAGAAUAAGCACCGGCUAACUCUGUGCCAGCAGCCGCGGUAAUACAGAGGGUGCAAGCGUUAUUCGGCAAUUAC